UUUCUCCUCCCAAGCAAUUGUUGGAAAUGUAAACCAACUUUUUUUUUAAAAGGAAAUUCCAACCAUGGAGAAAGCAAAUCUCAAUCUGUGUACCCUGCUUGACCCGUUAGAUAGCAUAAAUCCUGGGUUCUUUUAUACCCAAUUUUUCAUUACCCAUGCUCUUCCACCGAAAUGAGUGCUUACGUUUAUGCUGAUCUCUCAUUCCCUUAUUCCCUGUUUCUUUCUUAUUUAGGCUGUCAUCAUGCAAAAUCCGGAUUUGAUUGGGGCAUUUCAUUUCAGAUUUGAUAUCAGUUAUGGAUAGAUUGAUAAUCGAGAUUCUUCGGAACCUAAGAUCAGUCCAGAGAAAGCUGUGCAGAUUUGUGAUCGAAACUUUGGUGUUGGUGUUGAUGGGGUUAUCUUUUUCUUACCUGGAAUCAAUGGCACUGACUAUACUAUGAGGAUUUUCUACUUUGAUGGUAGUGAGCCUGAGGAUGAUUUGGCUGUUUGAAAUAGGCUCAAAAGCAAGUGUAAGAGAUUAGUCAACUUUGGAGCCAAGGAAGUUUUUGAUAUUGAGAUGAUACUAAAGCAGGCAUGACUCAUAGUAGAUCGCUCAUAAUGGAAGAGAAGGAAAUUAUGGGCAUGACGGACAUGUGUAUCAUCCCUUGAUAGAAUCCAAUAACAACAAUAGAUAAGUUUGUAAAUUAGUACAACUGUAGUGUGCAUUUAGUUGUUCAAAAAGAAUUAACAUUAAAGACUAUAUUCAUUAGUACAACUGUAGUGUGCCUUGACUAGCAAUGUGGUUCUAAUUAUUUUUUCUUCUCUUCCUUUGUAUGGUGUAGCUGAUUUUGGUGUGGAGAGUGACUAUAUUGAUCGGACCACGAAAGAUGAACUUCAUAUUGAAAUCGUUAUGUUUUCAUCUUUAUGUUUAAGAAUUUCUAAUGGAGAAACUAUUACUGGGCGUGGAGAGGCAAACUUUUAGGUGUUUGUGGUGAUGUUGUGUUUGUAUGCAAGGUGAAAAAAGUGAGUUUGGUGAAAUGAUGCAUUGGUUUCUUGCAAGAAGCUAUGAGAAUGCUGACUCUCCUUUCCAGAUUCAGAUAUUUCUAUCUUGGACAUUUUUUCAUCUGGCAUCCGGGAGAUAUGGUUAUUAAAUCUCGAAGAUUCUGUACUUGAGAGCUUGAUCUUGAAAUUGAAAGGGGAAAUUGACUAUUGAUUUUUCAUUUUGUGUUAUGGAGUUUAUAAAAGUAGGGAAGAAUAUGAUUUUUUCAUUUUGUGCUAUGGAGUUUCUGUAAGAUGAACAAGGUCCAAGGAAGUAUGUUUUGCCUUUAGCUAAACUAAUUCAAUGAUUGUGUUAUUGUUGUUUUCUUUCACGGUUCAUCAUUUAGAGGACAUAUAUUAUUUUGAGAAGAAAAUUUUGGAGGAAAUUGGUAUUGUCAACAAUAGAGAAACAUGUUAUUAAAA